rfam:Myotis brandtii contig239265, whole genome shotgun sequence.
GGUGGUUCUCAGGUGAUGCACCCAAGAACCAGGCUCCCUCCUCUCUAGUUCCAGGUGCGUCACCCUAGAACCACA